rnacentral:rRNA from 1 species
AGUGAACGCUGGCGGUAGGCCUAACACAUGCAAGUCGAACGGCAGCACAGUAAGAGCUUGCUCUUACGGGUGGCGAGUGGCGGACGGGUGAGGAAUACAUCGGAAUCUACUUUUUCGUGGGGGUUAACGUAGGGAAACUUACGCUAAUACCGCAUACGACCUACGGGUGAAAGCAGGGGAUCUUCGGACCUUGCGCGAUUGAAUGAGCCGAUGUCGGAUUAGCUAGUUGGCGGGGUAAAGGCCCACCAAGGCGACGAUCCGUAGCUGGUCUGAGAGGAUGGUCAGCCACACUGGAGCUGGGACACGGUCCAGACUCCUACGGGAGGCAGCAGUGGGGAAUAUUGGACAGUGGGCGCAAGCCUGAUCCAGCCAUACCGCGUGGGUGAAAGAGGCCUUCGGGUUGUAAAGCCCUUUUGUUGGGAAAGAAAAGCAGCAGGUUAAUACCCCGCUGUUCUGACGGUACCCAAAGAAUAAGCACCGGCUAACUUCGUG